UUUCCUCUCACGCUGCCGUGUUGCGACGCACCGUUCAUUCUCUUCGACAACAGAGCACAAAAACUCAGUUUUCCUCCUUCCCCUCUUUGUUCCUGCUCACUUCAAUUCUAACCUAAAAGCUCCCUAACAAGUCCGGAGGGCUCCUCCGUAUCACUCCCUACUCUUUGCUUCCCCCAACCCUAGAAUCCAAAUUUCACGAGCCACUUCGCUCGAGAUCGUUCCAAUUUUUGAAUGAGAAACCCAAAACUCACUCACUCAAUAGCCUUUUCAACUGGAUCUCAAUCUUCAAAUCCAUUGGUUUUGGUUAGCAUGCAACAUUAGAUCCAAAACCCUCGAACCCAGUUUGGGUUCGACAUUCCCGACGGCUUUCAUAAGUUUUUCGGUUGUGGCCGACCCUGCAACCACAUCUAUUCGACUCAGCAGAGUCCCACCAACAACAUUAGAGAGGUGAAGGUUUGAAGAAGAUUGAAGCUGAAUACAUAACCCAGAUUCCGGCAAAUCCGCCAGCUUCCCUGUAUUUUUUGAGGCCCUCACAGUCAUCCAAUCACCAAAUCUUAGGAUGGAAGUGGAAGGAUUUGGAAGAAUCAGAUGUUUAUGAUGAGAAUAGAAGAGUUGCCACAAUGCUUGAGGUUGCCAACGCCAAGAGUUGUAGCUGGUUCAAUUCGAAGAAGGGUUAAUCUUUUUACAAAAUAAGUUCCAAUUCCUUAGUGGUUUGGCUUUACAGUAAAUACCAAGUGAAUUUUUCAUUUGGUAGUUUUUUUAAUGCAGUUCAUUAACUUGGUA